AUUGAACGCUGGCGGCAGGCCUAACACAUGCAAGUCGAGCGGGGUUUUCGGACCUAGCGGCGGACGGGUGAGUAAUGCGUAGGAAGCUGCCCGAUAGAGGGGGAUACCAGUUGGAAACGACUGUUAAUACCGCAUAAUGUCUACGGACCAAAGUGUGGGACCUUCGGGCCACAUGCUAUCGGAUGCGCCUACGUGGGAUUAGCUAGUUGGUGAGGUAAUGGCUCACCAAGGCGACGAUCUCUAGCUGGUUUGAGAGGAUGAUCAGCCACACUGGAACUGAGACACGGUCCAGACUCCUACGGGAGGCAGCAGUGGGGAAUAUUGGACAAUGGGCGCAAGCCUGAUCCAGCCAUGCCGCGUGUGUGAAGAAGGCCUUCGGGUUGUAAAGCACUUUCAGCGAGGAGGAAGGGAUGUAUGUUAAUAGCUGCAACCUUUGACGUUACUCGCAGAAGAAGCACCGGCUAACUCUGUGCCAGCAGCCGCAGUAACAC
rnacentral:rRNA from 1 species